rnacentral:lncRNA from 1 species
CCAAAAUAGCACUAAUACAAAGUCUGAACCAAAACAGGAAAGAAACGCUAGUGGAACAUGAUCCACUAGCUCAACUCUAAAACUACGCUAGAAUGUAACACAGUAGCAUCCUCGAAAGCAUGAGAACCUACCAAACUCCGGAGGAAUGCUGACGUCCGAAUAGCUACAAAAAUGAACCUGUAGCUCGACCGUCCACAUGUGCCUGCACCUAAAAGUAGAUGUUUGUAUUGAAUUAGUACACACUUGUACUAAGUAUGGGUAUAUGCAAUCACACACUAGGGACAUGCAUGAGAAAGAAUAGUUUUUUCCUAACAACAUGAUUUUUGGAAGUCAGGUCAGUGGACUUGCCAAAUUGAGAUUGGGAAAGUUAUGCCACGAGAGUGACAUGCAUCAUUAUAAUUAUCAAAUUGCACACAACACAUAACAUCUGCAUAUAGCACAUAACAUAUGACACAUAACUUCUUUCAUAUUAUUCAUUCAUAUGCCAUGAGACCUUGUUAUCAUGGACUUGACCUUAAGACUUUCCAAAAUGAGGGCUCAACAGAUGGGACCUCAACUAGGGAGCCUUCUUUAGCAAACACAGAGUUUUCUUCAUUCACUCAUACGUACCUCAUUUCAGUUCAUUCAUAGGCCAGUGUGAACACCAGUUAUACCUAGAAUGUAGUUUAAGACUUUCAUCGGGUUUGUUGUGCAAUGAUCAGGAAUAACCUAAUGUCAUUACCUGAAUCUAGCUCACCUCUUGAUUAUCCUAUUGUAACACCUUCGGUAUCAUUCAUUUCUUUAUGUGAUUCAUUUGAGACUGGCCUCAUUCAUUCAUUGGAAACUUUAACUUUAACCGUCAUAGAUCAUGUGAGCAUCAUGUAAUUCAGUGUCUCCCCCACACCGAAAAGAGGUGGAAUCACCGGCCAAAGUGACUCAAUAACAUGCUAGCGUAUAUGGGAAUUUAACCCCGCCAGAUCCCUAUAGUGGCAGUAUAGGUUCAAAGACUAGGAGAUGUAUGGAGACACAUACCCGGCAAGCCGGACAGUCUCAUCUCAUGAGAGUUACGUGAACCUUCGCCCUUCCCGAAAGAAAGCAUCACUGCUCAUAGCUAGCCUAUCAGUGCUCAGUAUAAAGUUACAUUACAUUCAACUCAUACAUCAUGGAAGUUGGCUUCUAGUAUGAGGACAUCAUAGCUCAAUAGAUGAUUUCUCAUCUCAUCAUUAGUACUAAAUAUUUUAAACUCAAUAUUUUCAUUAGAGUGUUCAUAGAGAUUGGUCUCUUCAUUAUCAAUACUCUCAUUGGUGAGUACGUAUUGGUAACAUUUACUUAGGCUCAUUUGAGAUUGCUCUCAUCAUAUACUAGCCUCAUCAUGAUUGUCACCACAUUAUUCAUUAUUAGCACCUUUAUUUUUCAUAGUUACUCACCUCUUAUUUCGUGAAUGUUCAUUUCUUCAUUUUAUUAAGUAUAUCUUAGGUUCACUUAUUUUUGAACGUAUGUUAGACUUAUGUGUCUAUACAUACAAGCCAUGUGGCUUCAUUUAUAGUUCGUUAAGUGAUUCUUACUUUCCUAAUAUUAUGCAUUACAAGACUUAUGUAUCUUGUAUAUAUGACAAGAUCUUAAUUUUUUAUCUAAGUAGAUGGUAUUAUUCUUGAAUAUUUUACUCACGUAUGACUUAUGUAUCAAUACAGAGGUUUGGACACGGGAACCCAAAUCUUGAAUCACUUGAAUAUCAUUUAUAUUUUUCAUUGAUUUUAUUUCUAAUAUUCAUAACAUUAGAACUCUAAAUUAAAUCUCAACAUUUUCAUGAAAUAGUUAUUUUUUAUUUUAAUUAGAAUUCUAACUUAAAUCUCAACAUUUACAUGAAAUAAUUAAUUUUCUAUUUUAAUUAGAAUUCUAAAUUAAAUCUCAACAUUUUCAUGAAAUAAUUAAUUUUCUAUUUUAAUUAGAAUUCUAACUGAAAUCUCAACAUUUACAUGAAAUAAUUAAUUUUCUAUUUUAAUUAGAAUUCUAAAUUAAAUCUCAACAUUUACAUGAAGUAAUUAAUUUCUAUUUUAAUUAGAAUUCUAAAUUAGAUCUCAACAUUUACAUGAAAGGAUUAAUUUUCUAUUUUUAAUUAGAAUUCUAAAUUAAAUCUCAAUAUUUACAUGAAAGAAUUAGUUUCCUAUUUUUAAUUAGAAUUUUAAAUUAAAUCUCAAUAUUUACAUGAACGGAUAAAUUUAUUUUAUUUUAAUUUUACUACUAAUUAACCGAAAGGUUGGGGGUUCGAGCCCCAACAACCCCUUUGAUUUUUAGAAUUAAAUUUGCUACAAUAGGGAGGUUGUGGGUUCAAACCCCCACAACCCCCUUAUUUUCCUUUCUUUUUUCGCUGAGUAGGAGGCUGUGAGGUGAUGGGUUCGAACCCCCACAGGCCCUCCAUCUUUAAUUUUUUUUUAAUUUUUUUUAUAGAGGCAAGUGGCAAUGAGGUUGUGGGAUCGAAUCCAUCCCCACAACCUCGCUUUAUUUUCUUGUUAUUUCGCCUCACAGUUCGGCGCUGAGGUCGUGGGUUCGAUCCCCACGCCUCGCAUCUUUUUUUUUAUUCGCGAUUGGGAGGUCGUGGGUUCGAUUCCCACGCCUCUCAUUUACUCGUUUGUUUAAUUUUUCCUUUUCCUCCCCCAAGUCGCGUGUUCAACUCCCCUAGCCCCCAUUCCCUUUCAUUUUAUUUUUUUUUUAAUUUCGUUGGCCCCCAACCCCAGUUCAAAUCCCCUUAACGCGAUUUUUUUUCCUUUUUAAAGCGUGCGUUGGUGAGGUCCUAGGUUCGAUCCCUGCAGACCUCACCUUUUUUUUUAAAAUUUUUUUGACACGCAAAAUUACCAGAAUUCACCUGUAGCGAAUUUCCAGAUUCUGAAACUUUGUUACACAUUUUUAUGUAGCAUUUUACGGGAUAUUUGAGCAUCUCUUUCUUGGUCGUUCAUUAGGAUUCAUUAGACAAGUUAAAGGUAUGAUUUGGUCAUUUCUUUAACUGGAAUUUCUAGCAUUUCAACCAUGUGAACAUCACGAUAUUAAGAGCCUCUAAUUGCACAUAAAACACGAGUAAUCUCUAAUCUAUUAACAUGCUAAAGAAAGACCCAAAAUCAUGGUCAAAAUCUUGCACAAAUACAUACGUAUUUACAUUCAUAUUUCCGAAAGACACAAAAUAUAAACACAUAAUCAUGAACACAUACUCGAAACAAGAUCGUCACCAAACAUAUCAACCUAAAAUCGUUGGGAGCUAGUGACAGGGAACAUGCAAAAGGGAAAACAAUCCUAGUUUCGGAUGAACUACGUGAACCCUAAGGGAUCUCUUGGGAAAGGGACCAAGAGGAAAGGAACCCAUACCUUUAUUGAUGUUCAAACGAAGAAUUUGUUGCCCAAAACUCUCUCCAAAAAUCAGUCCAAAUUACCUCAACGUCCACACCACUCAACGAACUUCUCUUUGCCUUAACGUUUUUGGUUGCUUUUUUUUGUUUUUUUAAAAAUUUUCAUGUGAGUUCUUCAAGUGUAAAGAAUUCUUGAUGUAUUCUCUGGUUCUUAAAAUUAUUUUUGGCAGAAACCAACGUGAGAGAUAUAUAUGGAGAACGUGAGAGAGAGAGAG